GAUGAACGCUGGCGGCGUGCCUAACACAUGCAAGUCGAGCGAAGCACUUUGCUUAGAUUCUUCGGAUGAAGAGGAUUGUGACUGAGCGGCGGACGGGUGAGUAACGCGUGGGUAACCUGCCUCAUACAGGGGGAUAACAGUUAGAAAUGACUGCUAAUACCGCAUAAGACCACAGCGCCGCAUGGUGCGGGGGUAAAAACUCCGGUGGUAUGAGAUGGACCCGCGUCUGAUUAGCUGGUUGGUAAGGUAACGGCUUACCAAGGCGACGAUCAGUAGCCGACCUGAGAGGGUGACCGGCCACAUUGGGACUGAGACACGGCCCAAACUCCUACGGGAGGCAGCAGUGGGGAAUAUUGCACAAUGGGGGAAACCCUGAUGCAGCGACGCCGCGUGAGCGAAGAAGUAUUUCGGUAUGUAAAGCUCUAUCAGCAGGGAAGAAAAUGACGGUACCUGACUAAGAGGCACCGGCUAAAUACGUGCCAGCAGCCGCGGUAAUACGUAUGGUGCAAGCGUUAUCCGGAUUUACUGGGUGUAAAGGGAGCGUAGACGGAUGGGCAAGUCUGAUGUGAAAACCCGGGGCUCAACCCCGGGACUGCAUUGGAAACUGUUCAUCUAGAGUGCUGGAGAGGUAAGUGGAAUUCCUAGUGUAGCGGUGAAAUGCGUAGAUAUUAGGAGGAACACCAGUGGCGAACGCGGCUUACUGGACAGUAA
rnacentral:rRNA from 1 species